ACCCCAAUUUAAACCUGGAUUUAACCCACACCCGAAUUUAAACUUGGAUUUAACAGAGACCCGAAUUUAAACCAGGAUUUAACCCACACCUGAAUUUAAACCCGGAUUUAACAGAGACCCCAAUUUAGGACAGGAUUUAACCCAGACCCCAAUUUAAACGCGGAUUUAACAGAGAUCUGAAUUUAAACCUGGAUUUAACAGAGACCCAAAUUUAAACCAGGAUUUAACAGAGACCCGAAUUUAAACCCGGACUUAACCCACACCCGAAUUUAAGCCCGGAUUUAACUCCGACCUGACUUUAAGCCGGGAUUUAACAGAGACCCAAAUUUAAACACAGAUUUAAAAGAGUCCCAAAUUUAAACCCGGAUUUAACCCAGACCCCAAUUUAAGCCGGGAUUUAACUUAGACCCGACUUUAAGCCGGGAUUUAACAGAGACCCCAAUUUAAGUCUGGAUUUAACAGAGACCCAAAUUUAAACCAGGAUUUAACCUUGACCUGAAUUUAAACCAGGAUUUAACAGAGACCCAAAUUUAAACCCGGAUUUAACCCACACCCGAAUUUAAACCCGGAUUUAACCCCGACCCGACUUUAAGCCGGGAUUAGGGGGCCCCACUCACCGGGAUGGUUGGAGAUGGGCGGCUGGAAGGCGAGCUCGUUGUGAACCGGCCCUGGAGAAAACAACAACAGUCGCUUUGACACCCCAAAAACAGCUUUUUCCUCUCCUGUCGAACCGCCCCCUCAAUCGCACAACAGGGCUGACGACAACAACCGACCGACCGGUUUGUUCCCCCCCGUUCCAUCGCCUGUACCUUAAAGCAACAGGUUGUCGUCCCUAUUCUCCUUUUUCACAGAUUAAAAACUAUUUAUGACAGGUGUAAUUCCAGGUGUAACUCAGCCAGGGCUGCUCUGUCAGGGUGUGACAGGUGUAAUUCCAGGUGUAACUGAGCCGGGGCUGCUCUGUCAGGGUGUGACAGGUGUAAUUCCAGGUGUAACUGAGCCGGGGCUGCUCUGUCAGGGUGUGACAGGUGUAAUUCCAGGUGUAACUGAGCCGGGGCUGCUCUGUCAGGGUGUGACAGGUGUAAUUCCAGGUGUAACUGAGCCGGGGCUGCUCUGUCAGGGUGUGACAGGUGUAAUUCCAGGUGUAACUCAGCCAGGGCUGCUCUGUCAGGGGGGGGGGGGGGGGGGGGGGGGGGGGGGGGGGGGGGGGGGGGGGGGGGG
rnacentral:lncRNA from 12 species